UAUAGAUUGAGCCCACAAUUGGCUAUUGUUUCUCACGCACUCCCGGGGUUGAACAAAGUAGUUUCAAGUGCGAGAAAUUCAAGGGAACGUGCGAGCAGUAACAUAAUUUCGGCUUCCCAUCUAUGUUGUUUUCAUACCUCAUUGGUCCUAAAUCAUUCUAUUAACAUCCUUCGUUAAUUGGUCUUUUUGGGAUAAAGAGGUCAUUUCACAUUAAGAUAACAAAUAAGAAAAUGAACAGUGGUUGUUAAAUAGAUUUGACUAAGUUAAGUUGAUUGGCCUUUUUGGGAUAAAGAAGUCGUUUUACAUCAAAAUUACAAAUAAGAAAUCAGUGGCAAUCGCUAUGUAAAUUCGAUUAAGUUAAUUCAAUUGAGGUGGCAACAAAAGUAAAGAGUAAGAAUCCAGUAGGUUGUAAUAUUUCUAUACUUAGUAAUUGCUUAAUAUCAAUUGAUAUAAAUAUAACAUUCAUGGAUGUUGAUAUAGAGUGCGUUUGGGAUUGAGGUUGGGCAGCUAUAGCUUAAAGUUAUAGUACUAAAGUGUUUGGUAAAUACUAACUUCUGUAAUUUGA
rnacentral:lncRNA from 1 species